CACGUAGGGGACGAGCGUUGUCCGGAUUCAUUGGGCGUAAAGCGCGCGUAGGCGGCUCGGAAAGUCGGGGCGUGAAAUGCCGGGGCUCAACCCCGGGACUGCGUCCGAUACUUCCGAGCUGGAGGUAGGUAGGGGGAGAUCGGAAUUCCUGGUGUAGCGGUGAAAUGCGCAGAUAUCAGGAGGAACACCGGUGGCGAAGGCGGAUCUCUGGGCCUUACCUGACGCUGAGGCGCGAAAGCUAGGGGAGCGAACAGG
rnacentral:rRNA from 1 species